CUGCCUGCCAGGGAUAGGUAAGAGCUGCAGGGAUGAACACUCUGCACUUCAGGGGUGCUGCAAAAAGGUGAGUUCCAUGGGUCCUGUGCAGUGCUCAGGCACAGAAGUUGGAUUCCAGCAGCUCCAUCCCCACUGGGUGAGCAUUGCAGGGCUUGGCCAGGACCCAGCUCAGACAUUAAGAAUUAGGACAAUGUCCACAAACUCACAAAAGCACAUUAACUGUCUUUAUGGAAUGCUUCCAUUGGAAGUAUGCAGAACGAAAAUAGUUGAACUCACUUCUUCUGACAGCAGUGCAAUUUCUAGGCAGAGGUAAAAAUAGUAGGCAUGACACACAAAAUAGUCAUUGUGACAGUCUGCACAGAUAAUUCCUGCCUUCUUAUUGCUUGUUUUAUUAGCAGGAUACAAUGAAGAUAACAUCCUCGAGAAGGACUUUACGGUUGGAUAACAGCACACCAUGGGAGUCUUAGUUCCAUCAGUACAGGCAAUGGUGCAUACUGCCUGCUAUCUUACUCAAGAUAGGUCAGUUUCACAGAGAUGCUGCAGGGGGCUCCCUGCGCAUCAGAUCAGAUGGUCAGAAGGGCGUGGGAUUCUUGAUCCCUGGAGGUGCUAGGUGAGGUGAAGGCUGCACUAGCCAGCAGGGUGAUGAGGCCUCUUCCAAAAUCUCUUGAACCCUUUCAGAUGGAUUUGUUGCCUGAGGAGCCCAUGUCCACACUGCAUCCCCUCCUGCAUUGACUGUACCCAUUGUGCCAUGUGAAAUGAAAGAGGCAAACACUGAUCGUAAAGCUCUAGGGAAGGGAAUUCCUCAGGCAUUUCCAUUCGAAA